UACAGAGGGUGCAAGCGUUAAUCGGAAUUACUGGGCGUAAAGGGCGCGUAGGCGGAUAUAUAAGUUAUGUGUGAAAUCUCUGGGCUUAACCUGGGAACUGCACAUAAUACUGUGUGUCUAGAGUAGAGUAGAGGAAAGUGGAAUUUCCGGUGUAGCGGUGAAAUGCGUAGAUAUCAGGAGGGACACCGGUGGCGAAGGCGGCUUUCUGGACAGUUACCGACGCUGAGGCACGAAAGCUAGGGGAGCAAACAGG
rnacentral:rRNA from 1 species